rnacentral:rRNA from 1 species
UACGUAGGUGGCGAGCGUUGUCCGGAUUUACUGGGCGUAAAGAGCGCGCAGGCGGUCGUCCAAGUCGCGUGUGAAAGCCCCCGGCUCAACUGGGGAGGGUCACGCGAUACUGAUCGACUCGAAGGCAGGAGAGGGAAGCGGAAUUCCCGGUGUAGUGGUGAAAUGCGUAGAUAUCGGGAGGAACACCAGUGGCGAAGGCGGCUUCCUGGCCUGUUCUUGACGCUGAGGCGCGAAAGCGUGGGGAGCAAACAGG